CGUAAAAUUGGUGACUCUGAAUAGCUAUUGCUGAUCGCAUGGUCUUGUACCGGCGACAUGUCUAUCAAGUGUUUGCCUUAUCAACUUUCGAUGGUAGUUUAUAUGACUACCAUGGUGAUAACGGGUAACGGAGAAUAAGGGUUCGACUCCGGAGAGGGAGCCUGAGAAACGGCUACCACAUCCAAGGAAGGCAGCAGGCGCGCAAAUUACCCACUCUCGGCAUGAGGAGGUAGUGACGAAAAAUAACGAGACCGUUCUCUUUGAGGCCGGUUAUCGGAAUGGGUACAAUUUAAACCCGUUAACGAGGAUCUAUGAGAGGGCAAGUCUGGUGCCAGCAGCCGCGGUAAUUCCAGCUCUCAAAGUGUAUAUCGUCAUUGCUGCGGUUAAAAAGCUCGUAGUUGGAUCUGCGCCUUAGAACUCGGUCCGUCCACAGGACGUGAACUGGGCUUCUAGGCUAAUACUGCUGGUUUUCCCUACGUUGCCUUUACCGGUCGCGUAGGGUGGCUAGCGAGUUUACUUUGAAAAAAUUAGAGUGCUUCAAGCGGGCUAUUGCCUGAAUACUCGUGCAUGGAAUAAUAGAAUAGGAUCUCGGUUCUAUUUUGUUGGUUUUCUGAUCUGGGAUAAUGGUUAAGAGGGACAGACGGGGGCAUUCGUAUCGCUGCGUGAGAGGUGAAAUUCUUGGACCGUAGCGAGACGUCCGACUGCGAAAGCAUUUGCCAA
rnacentral:rRNA from 1 species